UCUUCUGCAAAGCGUUAUGGGGCUUUUGCAAAGAAGAAGGAGGGAGAGGCACAUGUUGUAUCCUCCCAUGUCAAGAGAAGACCCUCUGUAAAGAGGAAGAUUGUGCGCCAUGCUAGUAACCAGCACCAGGUGACUCAUAUAGCACCUGCCUUCAGGGAAAAUCAACAUUAUUAGCAUCAGCAACAACAACAUCAACAAUAUCAACAACAACAGCAUCGUCCGCAACAUCAGGCCUACCAGCCUCAAAACAACAACAAU
rnacentral:lncRNA from 1 species